UAUCUAUGCCAAGAAAACUCUGGAUGGAAUCACAGAGUCGGCCAAAACAGAAAUGAAGGAACAAGGAAAAGAAACCAGAAUUCAUCAUUUCAUUUCAUCAGAUAAAGAAAGUAAAAUCAAAAUAGAUUGGCAGUGAGGUGAUACACUGGGCAGAAUGCCAGUCACUCCAAUAUCUAUGCCAAGAAAACUCUAGACGAAAUCAUGAAGAGUCAGACACAAAGAAACGAAGGGACAACAAGAAGAAACCAGAAUUCAUCAUUUUAUUUCAUAAGAUAAGAAAGAAAAAUCAAAAUAGAUGGCCAGUGACGUGGCACAGUGGCCCAAGUGCCAGUCACUCCAAUAUCUAUGCCAAGCAAACUCUAGAUGGAAUCACAGAGUGAGACACAAUGGAAAAGAAGGGACAACAAGAAGAAACCAGAAUUCAUCAUUUUAUUUCAUCAGCUAAGAAAGUAAAAUCAAAAUAGAUGAGCAAUGAGGAGGCACAGUUGGCUGAGUGUUAAUCACUCCAAUAUCUAUGCCAAGAAAACUCUAGAUGAAAUCACAAAGAUUUAGAAACAAUGGAAAAGAAGGGACAACAUGAAGAAACCAGAAUUCGUCAUUUCAUUUCAUCAGAUAAGAAAGUAAAAUCAAAAUAGAUAGGCAGUGAGGUGGCACAGUGGGCUGAGUGCCAAUCAUUCCAAUAUCUAUUAAAAAAACUCUUGAUGGAAUCACAGAGUCAGACACAAUGGAA